UUCAGAAAACCUGUGGCUGGUCUGGGUAUUGUCAUGGUUCCUCAUCUCUUCUGGAAGCACACAAUGAGAGUGCAACACUGCUUAAAAGUGGCAUGGAAAUUGCCCAUGGCAACCCUAAAAACAAAAUAAACACAACUGUGCUUCUAUGCAACUCAACAGGCACCGGAAAAGAGAGAUGUACAGUGGUAGCUUCAUAUAUGGAAUUACUUGGGACAGUGGAGCAAGGAGGAAGCCUGGCAGACAAAAAGGGUGAGACUACCUCCAUAGAUCCAACCGGGCAGAUUACCAAGAUUCCAAGCUCCCAGGCAGGGUUGCUGCGAACAGCAGGGGACUUUGGCUUUCUCUCAGGCCAGAAAAUGUAUGAAAAUAAUCAGUCCAUUCCCAGGCCAUUGUAGAAACCUGCCGGCUACUCUCAUGGAGUGAUCCAAUCCUACCUGUAGGGUCAUAGUCAUGGCACCCAUGAUAUUCAAAGCACUUGUACAAUAAAUGUUCCCAUGAAAGAUGAAUGAGA